UGCUCAGGAUGAACGCUGGCGGCGUGCUUAACACAUGCAAGUCGAACGAAGCUUCGGGCUUAGUGGCGGACGGGUGAGUAACGCGUGAGAAUCUACUUUCAGGAUGGGGACAACCGUUGGAAACGACGGCUAAUCCCCAAUAGGCCGCAAGGUGAAAGGGUUUCCGCCUGGAGAGGAGCUCGCGUCCGAUUAGUUAGUUGGUGAGGUAAAAGCUUACCAAGGCAGCGAUCGGUAGCUGUUUUGAGAGGAUGAGCAAGCCACACUGGGACUGAGACACGGCCCAGACUCCUACGGGAGGCAGCAGUGGGGAAUUUUCCGCAAUGGGCGCAAGCCUGACGGAGCAACGCCGCGUGUGGGAAGAAGGCUCUUGGGCUGUCAACCACUUUUCUCAGGGAAGAAGUUCUGACGGUACCUGAGGAAUCAGCCUCGGCUAACUCCGUGCCAGCAGCCGCGGUAAUACGGAGGAGGCAAGCGUUAUCCGGAAUUAUUGGGCGUAAAGCGUCCGCAGGGGGCGCAUCAAGUCUGCUGUUAAAGGCUGGAGCUUAACUCCGGUAGAGCAGUGGAAACUGGUGCGCUAGAGGGCGACAGGGGUAGAGGGAAUUCCCAGUGUAGCGGUGAAAUGCGUAGAGAUUGGGAAGAACACCGGUGGCGAAAGCGCUCUACUGGGUCGCACCUGACCCUCAGGGACGAAAGCUAAGGUAGCGAAAGGGAUUAGAUACCCCUGUAGUCUUAGCCGA
rnacentral:rRNA from 1 species